rnacentral:tRNA from 1 species
GAGGGUAUAGCUCAAGUGGUAGAGCAUAUGCUUAGCAUGCAUGAGGUCCUGGGUUCAAUCCCCAGCGCCUCCU